rnacentral:lncRNA from 1 species
GAGAUCUUAGGCAUUCGGCUGUAGAAAUCUUAAACACCCAUUUUCCCCUAUAUCGGCCCCUCUUCUCUUCUCAAUACCUAGAUUCGCCCUCAAAUUUUUUCCUCUGCCGCGGAAUUGAUUCUUGACGAAGUAUAUCCUAUGAAUCUCAGAAACGGUAAACCUAAAUUUUCAGAUUAGGAUUUUCUUUUUUCUUGAUAAAAGAGUUGGAUAUGGAUUUUUGGUGAAUCGUCAAAUUGACGCUUGUUCCCUUUUACCCAUAGUUAGGCACACGCAAUGGAGAAUUUCGAUUUCGAUUCGGUGGAAAGAAGAUAGAUUAAUGCUGGUAAAAUCUCCCUCUUUCCCUCUCUCGCUCUCUCUUCUUGGCCUUCUUUAUGUUUUUCCAAAAGAUAGAAUAGAUUGGAAUAGUCGUAUUGAAAUCCAAGAAUUUAUCGGGGUGCGAGUGCAAUCCAAGAAUAUAUUAGCUUUCCCGUUAGGAAAUAAUUCUGAGGAUUUGAUGCAUGCUUAACAUUUAAGGUUGGUUUUUCUCUAAUGCUAUAUCAAAUUUCGAGGGUUUGAUUUGUAUUUAUGUGAAGAGAAUUUUUAUUUAUUAUUAUUUAUUGCUAUAUGGAAUUUUACCAUGGCAGAAAGAUAGUAAAUGAGUGUUGUGUAUGUAUAUUUAUAGCUAAUAGGUGAAUGUGCUUAGUGUAUUUUUAUUAACAAAAGAAGAUGUGGAUUUGGACUACUUGAAAUGUGUUCCUAUGCUUAGCUUUAUCACUUUUUUCUUUCAAAACAAUGUGUUAUAAAGUUAUAUGUAUAACUUCUGAUGAUUUGAUUGUAUAUGAUAGGUUUCUUAAGGCAAAAGAGACAUGAAUAAUUUGAUAUGCAUUUGGAAAUGCUGCGAAUCUUGUGCCUGCUUGCUGAAGUCGUAAACUAAUUUCUCAAGGAGACUGUAAUUCACAUACAUAUAUAUAAAUAUAUAUAAUAUCUAAAAAUUGUUUCUCUUGUGUAUGUUCUCCUUGUUGGGUUAUCAACAACUUUUUAUUGUAACUUACACUACUUUUAGAUCGAAGCAAAGUUUGGUUCUUUUAUUGUUAUAAUG